rnacentral:rRNA from 1 species
GAUGAACGCUGGCGGCGUGCCUAAUACAUGCAAGUCGAGCGAACAGAUGAGAAGCUUGCUUCUCUGAUGUUAGCGGCGGACGGGUGAGUAACACGUGGGUAACCUACCUGUAAGACUGGGAUAACUCCGGGAAACCGGGGCUAAUACCGGAUAAUAUUUUGAACCGCAUGGUUCAAUAGUGAAAGACGGUUUCGGCUGUCACUUAUAGAUGGACCCGCGCCGUAUUAGCUAGUUGGUAAGGUAAUGGCUUACCAAGGCGACGAUACGUAGCCGGCCUGAGAGGGUGAUCGGCCACACUGGAACUGAGACACGGUCCAGACUCCUACGGGAGGCAGCAGUAGGGAAUCUUCCGCAAUGGGCGAAAGCCUGACGGAGCAACGCCGCGUGAGUGAUGAAGGUCUUCGGAUCGUAAAACUCUGUUGUUAGGGAAGAACAAAUUUGUUAGUAACUGAACAAGUCUUGACGGUACCUAACCAGAAAGCCACGGCUAACUACGUGCCAGCCGCCGCCGUAA